rnacentral:sRNA from 1 species
AAACAGAACCUCUACAGCGUACUUUUUCACAGCAUCUGACCUCUAUUUUCACA